rnacentral:rRNA from 1 species
GAUGAACGCUGACAGAAUGCUUAACACAUGCAAGUCGACUCGAGUCUUCGGACUUGGGUGGCGGACGGUGAGUAACGCGUAAAGAACUUGCCUCAUAGUCUGGGGACAACAUCUGGAAACGGAUGCUAAUACCGGAUGUUAUGCUUUCUUCGCAUGGAGGAAGUAUGAAAGCUAUAUGCGCUAUGAGAGAGCUUUGCGGUCCCAUUAGCUAGUUGGUGAGGUAACGGCCCACCAAGGCGAUGAUGGGUAGCCGGCCUGAGAGGGUGAACGGCCACAAGGGGACUGAGACACGGCCCUUACUCCUACGGGAGGCAGCAGUGGGGAAUAUUGGACAAUGGACCAAAAGUCUGAUCCAGCAAUUCUGUGUGCACGAUGACGUUUUCGGAAUGUAAAGUGCUUUCAGUCGGGGAAGAAGCAAGUGACGGUACCGACAGAAGAAGCGACGGGCUAAAUACGUGCCAGCAGCCGCGGUAAAU